rnacentral:rRNA from 1 species
AGUGAACGCUGGCGGUAGGCCUAACACAUGCAAGUCGAACGGCAGCACAGUAAGAUCUUGCUCUUACGGGUGGCGAGUGGCGGACGGGUGAGGAAUACAUCGGAACCUACUUUUUCGUGGGGGAUAACGUAGGGAAACCUACGCUCAUACCGCAUCCGCUCUACGGUGGAAAGCAUGGGAUAUUUGGACCUUGCGCGAUUGAACUAGCCGCUGUCGGAUUAGGUAGUGGGCUGGGUAAAGGCCCACCAAGUAGACGAUCCGUAGCUGGUCUGAGAGUAUGGUCGGCGGCACGGGAGCUGAGCCACGGUCCAGACUCCUACGGGAGGCAGCAGUGGGGAAUAUUGGACAAUGGGCGCAAGCAUGAUCCAACCAUCCCGAGUGUGAGAAGAAGGCGUUCGGGUUGUAAAGCCCUUUUGUUGGGAAAGAAAAGCAGCCGGUUAAUACCACGCUGUUCUGACGGUACCCAAAGAAUAAGCACCGGCUAACUUCGUG